rnacentral:rRNA from 1 species
UGGGGAAUAUUGGACAAUGGGCGCAAGCCUGAUCCAGCCAUGCCGCGUGAGUGACGAAGGCCUUAGGGUUGUAAAGCUCUUUUUGGCGGGGAAGAUAAUGACGGUACCCGCAGAAUAAGCUCCGGCUAACUUCGUGCCAGCAGCCGCGGUAAUACAGAGGUGGCGAGCGUUAUUCGGAAUUAUUGGGCGUAAAGGGCGCGUAGGCGGCCAGAUAAGUCCCGGGUGAAAUCCCUCGGCUCAACCGAGGAACUGCCUUGGAAACUGUCUGGCUCGAGGCCGGGAGAGGGUAGUGGAAUUCCCAGUGUAGCGGUGAAAUGCGUAGAUACUGGGAGGAACACCGGUGGCGAAGGCGGCUACCUGGACCGGUUCUGACGCUGAUGCGCGAAAGCGUGGGGAGCAAAC